rnacentral:rRNA from 1 species
GAUGAACGCUGGCGGCGUGCCUAAUACAUGCAAGUCGAGCGAACAGAUGAGGAGCUUGCUCCUCUGACGUUAGCGGCGGACGGGUGAGUAACACGUGGAUAACCUACCUAUAAGACUGGGAUAACUUCGGGAAACCGGAGCUAAUACCGGAUAAUAUAUUGAACCGCAUGGUUCAAUAGUGAAAGACGGUUUUGCUGUCACUUAUAGAUGGAUCCGCGCCGCAUUAGCUAGUUGGUAAGGUAACGGCUUACCAAGGCGACGAUGCGUAGCCGACCUGAGAGGGUGAUCGGCCACACUGGAACGGAGACGCGGUCCAGACGCCUACGGGAGGCAGCAGUAGGGAAUCUUCCGCAAUGGGCGAAAGCCUGACGGAGCAACGCCGCGUGAGUGAUGAAGGUCUUCGGAUCGUAAAACUCUGUUAUUAGGGAAGAACAAAUGUGUAAGGAACUAUGCACGUCUUGACGGUACCGAAUCAGAAAGCCACGGCUAACUACGUG